rnacentral:rRNA from 1 species
ACCCGCUGAACUUAAGCAUAUCAAUAAGCGGAGGAAAAGAAACCAACAGGGAUUGCCCUAGUAACGGCGAGUGAAGCGGCAACAGCUCAAAUUUGAAAUCUGGCUCUUUUAGAGUCCGAGUUGUAAUUUGCAGAGGGCGCUUUGGCUUUGGCAGCGGUCCAAGUUCCUUGGAACAGGACGUCACAGAGGGUGAGAAUCCUGUACGUGGUCGCUGGCUAUUGCCGUGUAAAGCCCCUUCGACGAGUCGAGUUGUUUGGGAAUGCAGCUCUAAAUGGGAGGUACAUUUCUUCUAAAGCUAAAUAUUGGCCAGAGACCGAUAGCGCACAAGUAGAGUGAUCGAAAGAUGAAAAGCACUUUGGAAAGAGAGUCAAACAGCACGUGAAAUUGUUGAAAGGGAAGCGCUUGCAGCCAGACUUGCUUACAGUUGCUCAUCCGGGCUUUUGCCCGGUGCACUCUUCUGUAGGCAGGCCAGCAUCAGUUUGGGCGGUAGGAUAAAGGUCUCUGUCACGUACCUCUCUUCGGGGAGGCCUUAUAGGGGAGACGACAUACUACCAGCCUGGACUGAGGUCCGCGCAUCUGCUAGGAUGCUGGCGUAAUGGCUGU